rnacentral:lncRNA from 11 species
CAGCCGUGAAUUUACCUCAGGAAACGGGGCCUCGUUUGGCGCCCAGGCGUUUCCUUUCUCUCAGAGAGAGAGAGAGAGAGAGAGAAGGGCGCCUGGCUCUGACAGCCGUGGUUCAGGCCGGGCUGGGAAGGAGGGAAGAGCCGGCCCGGGUCCCCUCAGCCGUGGCUGGAAGGAAGGCCCCGAGGAGACAGGCCGGGAAGGGCGGGCGGGCUCUCUCUCUCUCUCUCUCUCUCCUCCCGCCACCCAGAGCCGGAGAGGUGAAUCAGGGCCCGUGCUGUGGCCUCGCCUGGUUCAGCCUCCUUUCUUGGGGAUGAAUCUGGAAAGAGUUGAAAGAGGAGAGAGACGCCUUUCCUUUGGGGAGUCACUUUUACCUCAGGAAAGGCUUUUCUUCCCGUCCAGAGGACCCUCUCUCUCCCACUCGAUUUUAGGAAUUUCUUUAUCGAACCUUUACCUCAGAAAAGCCUUGUGAAAUAGAAAGAAGAAAAUGCCAAUUUUAUUUAUUAAGAGAUUGUCACCUCAGACUUUACCUCAGAAAUGGCCAAGCCUUGUGAAACGGAAGGGAGAAACAAAGGCAAAACUUUUGAAAAUUAGCACAGCUUUUUCUGAAGGGACCAGGUGAAUAUUGUUGCAUUUUAUUUAUUAUAAUCUGAAAUAAUAAUUGGUUUCCAGAAG